CCCUUAGAUGUCCGGGGCUGCACGCGCGCUACACUGAAGGAAUCAGCGUGCUAAAACCAUUGUCGAAAGGCAUUGGUAAACCCAUUAAAAUCCUACGUGAUUGGGAUCGGGAAUUGCAAUUAUUUCCCUUGAACGAGGAAUUCCCAGUAAGUGUGGGUCAUAAGCUCGCGUUGAUUACGUCCCUGCCCUUUGUGCACACCGCCCGUCGCUGCCCGGGACUGAGCCGUUUCGAGAAAAGCGGGGACUGCUGCUGUCGGGGCUUUCGGGCCUUGGCUUCGGUGGAAACCGCUUUAAUCGCAGUGGCUUGAACCGGGCAAAAGUCGUAACA
rnacentral:rRNA from 1 species